UCAAUAUAAUAUAUAUAAUUAAUCCUGCUGGAUUAAUCUGGCAAUGCUGUUAUGGAAAAACAAAUGUUAAACCAAGGUGGAAGAAUAUAUUACCAGAUAUUCCAUCAUUCGUAUUAAUUUUUAUAUAUUGUAUAGCAACCUUUUAGUUAUUUGUAGGGGCGGAAUGGGUAAUCGGGAGAUUCGGGCGGAUUCCCGGUGGGCCGCUUCACUUUCACUUCACAACCUGACAAUUGUCCCGUUAGUUGACUUCUCUUAAAGUUCACAGCGCAGCCCCUGCCUGACAGCGCAGCAGAUGGGUUGUACCAUCUGAAGGAGUUCCCCCCUCCUCCCAGAUAGAGUUGGUUGGGUCCAUAGAGCUUCUCAGGUACCGACAGCUUCACUGUCUCGACGAGCGUCAGCAAGGACGGACCGUGGAAAGUGGCCGGGAGGGCUGAAGAGGCCAUGUUCAAGAGAAAAAGGGCCAUUGGAGGAGGGCCCUGCUAAAUUCACAGAAAUGUUUUGGAGAGGACGGACCCAAGUGGCAGCUGGGGAGUCCGAUGCUGAGAGAGGAGAUAAAGAGACAGUAUCAAGUGAGACAACAGCAGCCCAGCAGAAGAUCCCAGAGGUACAGACAAAUGCUAGUGUAGAUGAGGAGACCGAUCAUUUUGAUCAUUUUGCUCAUCCUCAACCACAGGAUUCAGACACGUUUUCCAUUACCAUCCUCAGCAACCCACAAAACACCCCCUGCUAGCUAAAGUUUUUCAGAGCAAACAUGGCACCAACCGCAAGUGGCUGGCAUACAGUGAAAAAACACAAUCACUGUAUCGUUCUGUGUGUUUGGCAUUUGCACCUACAGCAAGGGAUAGUCCUUUCAUAAAGGGAGGUAUGAAAACAUGGAAACAUGUUCACCAGCGUAAAGAGGAGCAUGAGAAAAGUAAGAUCCACAGAGAUAGUGCUGAUGCUUAUGUAGUAGAGCAAAUGUUUUCUUUAUUUGUCUUGAGUAAUUCUUUCGUUUUAAUUUAAGUGUGAACUUCCCCAAAAUUAGUUCUGGUUUUAAAAAAAGGUUCCUACCUCAGUUUUCAGGGCAUACCUGUUUGUCUCGUGUGGGUGUUAUUUUUGUGUUGCACUUCCUGGCUGGACUUGAGUGAGAGCGGACGCUCUGAGCCUGAAUAAAUGACAUCUCCACAUCUUCAUCGUGUGUCCCUCACUCUGUUCCCGACACAACGCAGAGAAGAAGCAGAAAGUGAACUGCUCCAAAUGGUGCCGUGACCCGGAUUCUCCAGAUCAGCCACUGCAGAUCGCCGGGUUAAGCUGUAUGCAAGUAAGCCUAUCUUGCUGUGGGCAGGAAGGAUCCAAGGACCACAAAGACAUUCAAUCGUAUUUUUCAUAUUUGUUUGGUCGAUCCCACUUUGGUUUUUACACAGUACUGGAUUUCACUGUGUGAGCAAGUUAAACUAAAUAAUUUGUGCUGAUUUGUAUGUGAUGUGUAAUGGAGUUUACACCAGCUAGUGGUUAUAGGAGGGGUAGAGGGUUAGUAUAUGCACCUGACACAGACAGGGAUGAUGUUUAGCAGCAAGGUUUCACCAGGAGGCUAGAUUUGGAUGAUGUCACACUGGUAGACAAGCCCCAGUCUUUCAGCCCCGCUGCUGCUAGUAGUGACACCCUGGAACAGCUACGUGACUUGCAAGGAGAGCUAGGGACCCAGAUUGGUUAUUCUGUGGUUAGUCGCAUAUUAGCCAGUGAAUCACUUAAUCCCUCAAGACACACUCCAUACCCUUCAGCCAUCCCGCCACUAGAGCCUCUACCCUCUACACUGGACAUGUCUCAACUGAAUGUUGUGGUAAUCAGCAAAUGGUCAGCCACGGAAGUGACCAUAAUGAGAGCUGCCAUUCACGAACCUCCUACACCAGCUAAAAUAAGUACAACUCCUGCUUCAGAAGUGAGAGCAUUACAGAGGGUACUGAUCAUGUUGGAAAAUGUACUGGCUAGAUCUGCUUCACCAGCCCAACAGUCAACCCAGUGGACACGCUCUGGUUCCUGCUGUGUGUGUGGUGAAAGGGCGCACCCCACAUGUGAUCACUGUAUGAACGAAAAGAGGUGCUUCGGAUGCUUGGAACCAGGCCACCAGAAAAGAGACUGCACACGACCCAGGCAACACCAGAUUCAGCCAGAAAGCCGCACACUAAACCAGGAAAACUGAGUCACUCACACUCAGGAGGGCAUAGUGUGAGUGUUUCCUGUCAGUCCCUCGAAACAAAAGAUGACUUAAGCUCUGUAUAUUAGGAACGUUGCAAGUCUGUUCAGAACGACAACAUCAUCAUUUGCCAGAAUAUACACAGGCUUGAGAAGGCAGACGACCUGUUUUAUACUGAUGUGCUGGUGAAUGAUAAAACUGUAUUGCAGGCGAUGCUGGACACUGGUUCGAUGGCCUGUACUAUGAGUGAAGCGGCCGAAGAGGAGCUCCGCAUAGCAGGACUGCUACUAGAGGGAACCCAAACCAACCAGGACAUUGUCAAUGAACAAAGCUGAUUCUCCUGGUGAGCCGGGCAUUGAACAGUUCUUAAGCAUGCUCUCUGGCAUAACAAGAUGGAAGGGUGAAAGCAUUCCAGACUCCAUUGGAAUUGUGAAGCUAACUAGUGCUGUGAUGCUAAUGCCCUGACAAGAACACAUCGUUUGGGCAAAACUUCCUGGGAAUUUCCCUGUCUCUGAGGUGAGUGCCAUACUGGUGGAACCAUUGAAGUAUCAAUCACACAGGAAAAACAUCAUGGUAGGGAGAACUGUGGCUUCAAUGAGUGGUGACAGGUGGGUACCUGUAAAGGUCAUGAAUCCAAGUGACAAGCCAGUGACACUGAAGAGGAACACGAAACUAGCUGAUGUUUCACCUUGUGUGGCGCUAGAAGAUCUUGAACUCAAUGUGGACCACACCCCCGCUACAGAGAUUAAGGCACAAGGCCAAAGCAUGCAGGACUGCCCCAUCCAAGCUACUACUGGAGCUCACACACAUCAGGACAGACUCAGCAAUCUUGGACUGGGUGAAAUCGACAUCAACUCAUGUGAAGUGUCACUCUAUUGGAAGGGCCAGCUGGUGGACCUUAUACAGCACUAUGAAGAUGUGUUUUCGAAAGACAAGUUGGACUGUGGCUGUGCCAAAGACUUUGUCCACAGAAUCCAUCUAACCGAUGACUGCCCAUUCCGUCUGCCGUAUCGCCGUGUUCCACUGGGCCAGUACCAGAAGCUGAGAGAGGUCCUCUCUGAAAUGGAAGAGAAGGACAUCAUACGCAAGCCAUGCAGUGAGUGGGCGUCUCCCUGGGUUCUUGUAUGGAAGAAGAAUGGUGAUCUACGCAUUUGUGUGGACUACCUGUGGCUUAAUGCACGCUCCGUGAAAGAUGCUCAUCCGGUACCUCCGGUUGGCUGCUUUGGGAGGAAACGCCAUCUUCAGCACCAUGGACUUAACAUCAGGGUUCUAUAACAUCCCCAUGCACGAGCAGGACAAAAAGUUCACCGCCGUUACGACGCCAGUCGGGCUCCAUGAGCUCAACAGGCUGCUACAGGGCCUGUGUAACAGCCCAGCGAGCUUCAUGCAUCUCAUGAUGAACGUCUUUGGAGACCAGGAUUUUCUAACCCUGUUAUGCUAUCUUGAUGAUGUGUUGGUCUUUUCUCCAAUUGAGGAAGUGGCCCUAAAUAGUCUCAAGACUGUGAUGGGACGACUUAGGGAGCAUGGGCUAAAGCUGGCUCAGAAGAAGUGUCACUUCUUUUGACGGAGUGACAAGUUCUUAGGUCACUUCAUUGAUGGGAAUGGAGUUGCCACAGAUCCCGACAAAGUUGAAGCCAUCACUGCCAUGACUGAGGGGGACCUGAUGAUGGACGAUGGAGUCACGCCUUCAGCAAAAAAGAAGUUCAUACAAAACUGCUCCAGCAUAGCAAAGCCCCUGUUCUCGCUGACUACUGCUGCACCUGGCAAGACCAACGCAAGAGGUGCUGCAUCUUUUAGGAGGCCCAGGUGAUUGGACUGAAGAGCAGAGUAAAGCAUUCAACCAACUAAAAUCAGCCUUGCUAAACUCAGUAUUGCUUGCUCACCCUGACAUCAGCCGUCCUUUUAUACUGUCAACAGAUGCUUCAUUGGAUGGAUUAGGUGCUGUGAUCUCUCAAGUACCUGAAGGAGAGUGCAAGGCACGCCCCAUCGCCUUCGCAAGUAAGUCCAUGACACGCGCACAGACCAAGUACCCAGCUCAUCGUCUUGAGUUCCUCGCACUCUGUUCCCGACACAACGCAGAGAAGCCGAAAGUGAACUGCUACACUUACUUUCUGUUGGCUAACAGGGCAGAUGUAAAAAGCCUUCUGGCUGGCAAACAUGUCUCUACAUCAUGAGCAGGUGAAAAAGAAGCGUCAGGUGAUGGAACGCAUCAUAGAUGUGAUAAAAGUCAUAGGCAAAUGUGGACUUAGUUACAGAGGGGGUCAAGCAGAGGUUGCUUAUACUCUUGUAAAAUACUGCAGUCAAUCAUGGCAACUUUCUAGAGUUGGUCAUACUUUUGAGCCAGUAUGAUCUGUGCCUUCAACAGCACAUUAGUAGUUGUAUUGAGCAAUGCAAGAAGCUUCAUGACACUGGUGCAAAAGGUAGAGGUUCUCUUGUGACUGUACUUUCAAAGGACAUUGUUGGUAAAGUUGUGGAUGCUCUCAGCCAGGUGAUAAAGGACACGAUUGCAGAUGAGGUUAGAGAGGCAGGAAUGUUUUCAGUUCAAAUUGAUACAACCCAAGAUGUCAUAUCAAAGGACCAGUGUGCUAUCAUUUUCAGAUAUGUCACAAAUGCCGUUCAUGAGUGGUUGGUCGCUGUGGUGGACUGUGAAAAAUCCACAGGCAAGUAUUUCACAGAGAUGCUGAAACACACAUUAGACAAACUCAGCAUUGACAUUGG